rnacentral:lncRNA from 1 species
UUUAUUGAGAGUUUUUAGCAUGAAGGCUGUUGAAUUUUGUUGAAGGCCUUUUCUGCAUCUAUUGAGAUAAUCAUGUGGGUUUUGUCAUUGGUUCUGUUUAUGUGAUGGAUUACGUUUAUUGAUUUGUGUAUGUUGAACCAGCCUUGCAUCCCAGGUAUGAAGCCAACUUGAUCAUGGUGAAUAAGCUUUUUGAUGUGUUGCUGGAUUCAGUUUGCCAGCAUUUUAUUGAGGAUUUUUCCAUUGAUGUUCAUCAGGGAUAUUGGCCUGAAAUUUUAUUUUUUUGUUGUGUCUCUGCCAGGUUUUGGUAUCAGGAUGAUGCUGGCCCCAUAAAAUGAGUUAGGAAGGACUCCGUCUUUUUCUAUUGUUUGGAAUAGUUUCAGAAGGAAUGGUACCAGCUCCUCUCUUACCUCCGAUAAAAUUUGGCUGUGAAUCCAUCUGGUCCUGGACUUUUUUUGGUAGGUAGGCUAUUAAUUACUCCUUCAAUUUCGGAACCUGUUAUUGGUCUAUUCAGAGAUUGGACUUCUUCCUGGUUUAGGCUUGGGAGGGUGUAUGUGUCAAGGAAUUUAUCCAUUUCUUCUAGAUUUUCUAGUUUAUUUGCAUAGAGGUGUUUAUAGUAUGUUGGUAGUUUGUAUUUCUGUGGGAUCAGUGAUGAUAUCCCCUUUAUCAGUUUUUAUUGUGUCUAUUUGAUUCUUCUCCCUUUAAUUCUUCAUUAGUCUGGCUUGCAGUCUAUUUUGUUGAUUUUUUCAAAAAGCCAGCUCCUGUAUUCAUUGAUUUUUUGAAGGGUUUUUCGUGUCUCUAUCUCCUUCAGUUCUGCUUUGAACUUAGUUAUUUCUUGCUUCUGCUAGCUUUUGAAUUUAUUUGCUCUUCAAACUAUACUACAAGGCUAUAGUAACCAAAACAGCAUAGUACUGGUACCAAAACAGAUAUAUAGACCAAUGGAAGAGAGCAGAGGCCUCAGAAAUAACACCACACAUCUACAAACAUCUGACCUUUGGCAAACCUGACACAAACAAGCAAUGGGGAAAAGAUUCUCUAUUUAAUAAAUGUUGUUGUGAAAACUGGCUAGCUAUAUGCAUAAAACUGAAACUGGACCCCGUCCUUACACCUUAUACAAAAAUUAAGUCAAGAUGGAUUAAAGAUUUAAACAUAAGACCUAAAACAAUAAAAAUCCUAGAGGAAUACCUAGGCAAUACCAUUCAGGACAUAGGCAUGGACAAAGAAUUCAUAUCUAAAACACCAAAAGAAAUGGCAACAAAAGCCAAAAAUUGACACAUGGGAUCUAAUUAAACUAAAGCGUUUCUGUGCAGCGAAAGAAACUAUCAUCGGAGUGAACAGGCAAUCUACAGAAUGGGAGAAAAGUUUUGCAGUCUAUCCGUCUGACAAAAGGCUACUAAAUAAUAAUAAUCUACAAAGAACUUAAACAAAUUUACAAUACAAAAACAACACCAUCAAAAAGUGGGUGAAGGAUAUGAAGAGACACUUCUCAAAAGAAGAGAUUUAUGCAGCCAACAAACAUAUGAAAAAAAGCUCAUCAUCACUGGUCAUUAGAGAAAUGCAUAUCAAAACCACAAUGAGAUACCAUCUCACACCAGUUAGAAUGGCGAUCAUUAAAAAGUCAGGAAACAACAGGUGCUGGAGAGGAUGUGGAGAAAUAGGAACACUUUUGCACUGUUGGUGGGACUGUAAACUAGUUCAACCAUUGUGGAAGUCAGUGGGCGAUUCCUCAGGGAACUAGAACUAGAAAUACCAUUUGACCCAGCCAUCCCAUUACUGGGUAUAUACCCAAAGGAUUAUAAAUAAUUCUGCUAUAAAGACACAAGCACACGUAUGUUUAUUGUGGCACUAUUCACAAUAGCAAGACUUGGAACCAACCCAAUUGUCCAUCAGUGAUAGACUGGAUAAAGAAAAUGUGGCACAUAUACACCAUGGAAUACUAUGCAGCCAUAAAAAAUGAUGAGUUCAUGUCCUUUUCAGGGACAUGGAUGAAACUGGAAACCAUCAUUCUCAGCAAACUAACACAAGAACAGAAAACUAAACACCUCAUGUUCUCACUCAUGAGUGGGAGGUGAACAAUGAGAAUACAUGGACACAGGGAGGGGAACAUCACAC